GCCGAGCCUGAGCCCGAGCGGCCGAGGCGCCGGAGCCGAGCCUGGUCUAGCCACCGCCUCCCCCGCUGCUGGCCAGCGCCCCCCGAGUCCCGGCCCGAUGCCGGCCGAACUCAGACAGGAACAGAGCCCAGGCAGCCAGGCCUCACUGGCCACGAUGCCGGAGGCACCUGAUGUGCUGGAGGAGACCGUGACGGUGGAGGAGGACCCCGGCACGCCCACUUCCCAUGUGUCUAUUGUCACAUCCGAAGAUGGCACGACCCGGCGCACCGAGACCAAGGUCACCAAGACUGUCAAGACGGUGACCACUCGGACAGUACGCCAGGUGCCCGUAGGCCCAGACGGACUCCCCCUGCUGGAUGGCGGCCCCCCACUAGGCCCUUUUGCAGAUGGUGCCCUGGACCGGCAUUUCCUGCUGCGUGGUGGUGGCCCAGCGGCCACACUCUCUCGAGCCUACCUCAGCAGCGGGAGUGGCUUUCCCGAAGGCCCCGAGCCCCGGGACAGCACCAGCUAUGGCAGCCUGUCCCGAGGGCUGGGCAUGCGGCCCCCACAUGUGGGCCUCCUUGGCCCAGGCCCUGGUGAUGGCUGCUUCACGCUGCCUGGCCACCGGGAAGCCUUCCCGGUGGGUCCUGAGCCUGGGCCACCAGGUGGCCGCUCCCUGCCCGAGCGCUUCCAGGCAGAGCCGUAUGGCUUGGAGGAUGACACGCGCAGCCUGGCCGCUGAUGACGAGGGUGGCCCUGAGCUGGAGCCUGACUAUGGCACGGCCACGAGGAGGAGGCCUGAGUGUGGGCGGGGCCUUCAUACCAGGUGAGCUGCACCCGGUCCCCUGUGGCUACCUCCUCUGGGAAGUCCGCUGUCCACCCCCC
rnacentral:sRNA from 1 species